rnacentral:rRNA from 1 species
UACGUAGGGUGCAAGCGUUAAUCGGAAUUACUGGGCGUAAAGGGCGCGCAGGCGGCUGCUCAAGUCAGGCGUGAAAGGCCUGGGCUCAACCCGGGAAUUGCGCUUGAGACUGGGCUGGCUUGAGUGCGGGAGAGGAUGGUGGAAUUCCCAGUGUAGAGGUGAAAAUUCGUAGAUAUUCGCAAGAACACCAGUGGCGAAGGCGGCUCACUGGCUCGUAACUGACGCUCAUGCACGACAGCGUGGGGAUCAAACAGG